UACGUAGGGUCCGAGCGUUGUCCGGAAUUAUUGGGCGUAAAGAGCUCGUAGGCGGUGUGUCGCGUCGGUCGUGAAAACUUGGGGCUUAACCCUGAGCUUGCGGUCGAUACGGGCAUCACUGGAGUUCGGCAGGGGAGACUGGAAUUCCUGGUGUAGCGGUGAAAUGCGCAGAUAUCAGGAGGAACACCGGUGGCGAAGGCGGGUCUCUGGGCCGAUACUGACGCUGAGGAGCGAAAGCGUGGGGAGCGAACAGG
rnacentral:rRNA from 1 species